rnacentral:rRNA from 1 species
UACGUAGGGUGCAGGCGUUAAUCGGAAUUACUGGGCGUAAAGCGUGCGCAGGCGGCCUCUUAAGUCAGAUGUGAAAUCCCCGGGCUUAACCUGGGAACUGCGUUUGAAACUGGGAGGCUAGAGUGUGGAAGAGGGGGGUGGAAUUCCAGGUGUAGCAGUGAAAUGCGUAGAUAUCGGGAGGAACACCUGUGGCGAAGGCGACCCCCUGGUUGGAUACUGACGCUGAGACGCGAAAGCGUGGGGAGCAAACAGG